GACGAACGCUGGCGGCGUGCUUAACACAUGCAAGUCGAACGAAGUGGCGAACGGGUGAGUAAUACGUGGGUAACCUGCCCUCCUUUUUGGGAUAAGCCUUUGAAACGGGGUCUAAUUCCCAAUUACGGGGGAUGCGCUCGCUGCCUAUCAGCUUGUUGGUGGGGUGAUGGCCUACGAAGGCGGUGACGGGUAGCCGGCCUGAGAGGGUGACCGGCCACAUUGGGACUGAGAUACGGCCCAGCCUCCUACGGGAGGCAGCAGUGGGGGAUAUUGCACAAUGGGCGAAAGCCUGAUCCAGCCAUGCCGCGUGUCUGAAGAAGGCCUUCGGGUUGUAAAGGACUUUUGUUAGGAAAACGGGACCUAAAGAAUAAGCACCGGCUAACUACGUGCCAGCAGCCGCGGUAAUAG
rnacentral:rRNA from 1 species